rnacentral:rRNA from 1 species
AUCAUGGCUCAGAUUGAACGCUGGCGGCGUGCUUAACACAUGCAAGUCGAACGCGAAAGGGACUUCGGUCCUGAGUAAAGUGGCGCACGGGUGAGUAACGCGUGGAUAAUCUGCCCUUAUGAUUGGAAUAACAGUUGGAAACGGCUGCUAAUACCGGAUACGCUCAAAAUGAACUUUUUGAGGAAAGAUGACCUCUGCUUGCAAGUUAUCGCAUAAGGAUGAGUCCGCGUCCCAUUAGCUAGUUGGUGGGGUAAUGGCCCACCAAGGCUUCGAUGGGUAGCCGAUUUGAGAGGAUGAUCGGCCACACUGGAACUGAAACACGGUCCAGACUCCUACGGGAGGCAGCAGUGGGGAAUAUUGCGCAAUGGGCGAAAGCCUGACGCAGCGACGCCGCGUGAGGGAUGAAGGUUUUCGGAUCGUAAACCUCUGUCAGAAGGGAAGAAACUGUGCUGUGCUAAUCAGCAGUGCAUUGACGGUACCUUCAAAGGAAGCACCGGCUAACUCCGUGCCAGCAGCCGCGGUAAUACGGAGGG